CGACGGAAAAAACAACUCAAUUGUAAGUACACUCAAAUGAAGGAUUUAAUUAAAUAUGAAUAUAAUAACCCAUAGCGUUGGUAAAUUUCUAAUAAGAACAGAAAAUAUUUUCGAUUAAUAGGAAUGUAUUAAAAUGAAAGUGGACGAAAUACACAAAUAGCUUUACAAAUUGAGACAUUGUUUCAUUGAAGAAGAACAACCAUCACUUAAAUCCGGCGUAUUAAGAUGAAAAUGUCCAGAUCAAUUAUUUUAUUCGUAAACACUGUCUUUGGAAGCACAGUCUAUGGUUGUCCAUGCUGGAACUUGGAUGUUGAUUACACAAACUCGAAUCUAACGACAUUCCCGUCUAAUAUUCCACAUGCUGCACGAAUUUUGGAAUUAAAAAGCAACCGACUGAACUGCUCCAACUACAGGAUGAAAAUAUUUAAGGAUUUUCUAAACUACAUUACAAAUUUGAGAGUUUCUGGUGCAAUGUGUGAAUACAAACUGUUAAAUAACCAUAACUUCACCAAAUGCAGAGUUAUUAUAAAUACAGACGUUAUAAUAUAUAUAUCGUGUGGACCCGACAUUUCCGCCAUUCUCAUUAUCAGAUACAUUAACAAAAAUGCAGGAAUUAACCGAAAUAUAUAUGAAAGUAACCGCGAAACUAACAUAGAACAUGACGUUGAAACAAGCCAAAACGUCUCAAUACGAAAGGAAAGUGGUCACAAAAAUAAACAUAUCAACGAGCUUGAGAUGUCGAAUUUAAUUUUUCCAUCAACCGAACAACGACGUCUUACUAUGGCUACAACUCAUGUGAUUCGUCAUAUAGGAUUCGGCUACCAAACGACGGUUAUCUGAAUCCAUACCAGUCAUUGCUGCCUACACUGCAGCAGUUUCAAAACAUGCAAGAGGAUUCUGAUAAAUAUGGUAAUCCCCCAGAAGAGAACAGGGUGAUUACAAAUCUGUUAAGAAUUAAGACUUUAUUCAAUAUAUAUUAGUGAACAGUCUUUAAAGAAGGACAUAAAAAAAGAUCCAAAUAUAAAGAAAUACAGAAAAAAAUGUACGGACUUUGCAGCACACAUAUUUAAAGCCACAGUUCAAUUACAAUUAAAAAACAGCAAGAAAGGCGGAGCCGACUAACGUUGAAAUAAAAUAAGACAAAGAUAUAAUAUACUGUUUCUGACAUUCUCCGUUGAUAAAUUUAGAAGUUAUUCAGAAACUAAUGACUAAGUUUUUUACUCCCUGAGGAAAGGUUAAACUUUCAGAAAUAAUUUACUGUAAAUAUUAAUAUAAUAAAAUAUAAAUUUUACGAUUGGAAUGUAUCGGUAUAUGUAUCUGUUCAGAUAAACGGGAUAGGUUAUAAAGUUUUUUUCGAAAUAUUCCACUUUUUUUAGUUGCUUUGAGAAGAUAUUGUUUUUAAGCUUAGAGCUCAUAUCAACCUUGGUUCUGUUCCUUUUUUUUAAUUGGCCAAGUAGUUUCAUUUAUUCUUAAUUUGUGGCCUUGUAAAAUAUAUCUAGUGAGUAAUACUAUUUUCCUAUAUAUACCUGUGUGAUCAUAUAUUUUCUAUUGAUACCUUGUGUAUUCAAAUGCCAUAUUAUGUUGAGAUUUAAAAAAAAGUGUAUAUAGAGUGAU